AUUGAACGCUGGCGGCAGGCCUAACACAUGCAAGUCGAACGAGUGGCGGACGGGUGCGUAAUGUCUGGGAAACUGCCUGAUGGAGGGGGAUAACUACUGGAAACGGUAGCUAAUACCGCAUACCAUCGGAUGUGCCCAGAGGGGAUUAGCUAGGAGGUGGGGGACAGGCUCACCUAGGCGACGAUCCCUAGCUGGUAUGCGAGGAGGACCAGACAAAAGGGAACGGGGACACGGGCCAGACUCCUAGGGGAGGCAGCAGUGGGGAAGAGUGAACAAUGGGCGAAAGCCUGAUGCAGCCAUGCAGCGUGUAUGAAGAAGGCCUUCGGGUUGUAAAGUACUUUCAGCGGGGAGGCGUUACCCGCAGAAGAAGCACCGGCUAACUCCGUGACAGCAGCGGCGGUAAUUC
rnacentral:rRNA from 1 species